UACAGAGGUCUCAAGCGUUGUUCGGAUUCAUUGGGCGUAAAGGGUUCGUAGGUGGCCUGCUAAGUCGGACGUGAAAUCCCUCGGCUCAACCGGGGAACUGCGUCCGAUACUGGUGGGCUCGAGUGCAGGAGAGGAACGCGGAAUUCCAGGUGUAGCGGUGAAAUGCGUAGAUAUCUGGAGGAACACCGGUGGCGAAGGCGGCGUUCUGGACUGCAACUGACACUGAGGAACGAAAGCCAGGGGAGCAAACGGG
rnacentral:rRNA from 1 species